CGCUGGCGGCAGGCCUAACACAUGCAAGUCGUAACAAGGUAACCGUAAGCUUGCUUUUUUGCUGACGAGUGGCGGACGGGUGAGUAAUGUCUGAGAAACUGCCUGAUGGAGGGGGAUAACUACUGGAAACGGUAGCUAAUACCGCAUAACGUCGCAAGACCAAAGAGGGGGACCUUCGGUCCUCUUGCCAUCGGAUGUGCCCAGAUGGGAUUAGCUUGUAGGUGGGGUAACGGCUUCACCUAGGCGACGAUCCCUAGCUGGUCUGAGAGGAUGACCAGCCACACUGGAACUGAGACACGGUCCAGACUCCUACGGGAGGCAGCAGUGGGGAAUAUUGCACAAUGGGCGCAAGCCUGAUGCAGCCAUGCCGCGUGUAUGAAGAAGGCCUUCGGGUUGUAAAGUACUUUCAGCGGG
rnacentral:rRNA from 1 species